ACUAGAUCAGUAAUGCCUGCAUGCCGUGGGUUAGUAUAUUUCCAAAGUACAAUCUAAUCUCCUAAUAGUCAAACAAUGGACGUUCAACUACGGACUGGUGAAGCAUAACAAACAAUGGCGAGAUUUUCUAUUCGAACUGAAGGCCAAGAGACCUUGUUUGUUGCAAAUACGAGCAUCAUUUAUGGUGUUGAAUAAAGAAGCAUCGGUCGUCUGCUUUUGCCUUGUCACUGAAUUUUCUUUGGCGGAGGAAUACUUGUUUGUUGUGUUAGAGGUGAUGUCUCUCAAGCUGACGCCUGCGCCAUUAGCUAUCGUCUGCUGACCUGGUGUAAGAUAUACGCUAGCAAGAAAUCAGCUUAGGCGUCAACUUGCCUUAGAUGAUAUAGAAGAGAGCACCUGGUUGCAUGCAGCCUCAGAACGAGACAGCUGGAGGUCACUCACAAGGGCCGCUAGAUGUACAUUUGAGACCAGAAGAAAAUCCGCUGCCAAGUACAGACGCAGACGGCGAAACCAAAAAUACUGCACUCCUCAUUAAUAUUUGGACUCGAAGACAAGCCUUAUUAUUUUAUUAUAAACAAUUUUAUAUAAAAGCGAAGUAACAAAUCGAUGUAAACCUUAUUUAUAAAUGUUCUAGUUGAUACAACUACACUAAAUACAAGCUUUGUUUUUUAUUAAGCACUUUCUUGUUCGCUUGUUUGUUUAAUUGUGCUUUUUGUUGAAUAUUACGGUAUGUAUUCACUCGUUAAGAUUCAUGAAUUAAUUUCAUAAGUCGAUAGUAAAAACUCAAUAGCGUAAUGUACUGUAUAAUUGUAGUGACCUAUAUUAAAAAAAAAUGAUCACAAUUUAAGAAAUUAAAAUAAGACAACAGCGUCCACUAAAACCCACCUAUAUUAUGCCACCUUGAAAAUGCUGAUAACGAAAAACACAUGUAUUUGGAAUGUCCAUUAUUCCUUCAAGUUAGAAGUACUGUAAUGGACCUAUUGGAAGCAAACUGUGGCAAUUAUGUAAAUGUUAACUUGUCUAUUAUUUUAAACAAGCUGCCAAAACUAAAAAAUAAAAUGAUACAUAACUUUAACUUGAUUAUUGUUUCCGAAUACAGGAAUCUUGUUUGGGCUAGCUGGCUCAAAUGUCUACAUAAUAAUAAGGUGCUUGAUCCUAAUCACUUGGAAUUAACAUUUAGAAAAAUAAUGGAUUUUAGGGUAGAGAAUUAUCUAGUUUGAUUUUCAUAUACCUGUAUAAUGCUCAUGUAGUUUUUCAGAAAUAGGGUGUUGGGGGUCAGGGAUAUCUGAUAUUGUGUUGAUUGUUCUGGAGUAGAGUAUACUUGUAUCAUUUUUCUGUCUUUAGGGGGUUCAUUGGUUAGUUAGUAUGUCUUUGAUAUUAAAUAAUAUUUCUAUUACUGUUAUUAUAUUUUUAGGUUAAUCACUUUUCAAUUGUUUAUGAUUUAAUACUUGUGAAUUAUGGUAACUUACAAAUAAAAACAUAUUAAAAAAAAAAAAAAAAAAAAAAAAAGCCCACAAAAGAGGCAAGAUGGCCCAUAAAAGAGGCAUAUAAAGCCCAAAAAAGAGGCAAAGAAAAGAGGCAUAAAGCCCAAGGAUUCCUAUGAUGAUAAAGCUAAAACUGAAUAGCGCAAAUUCUGAGGUUUCCUUUAAAAAAAAAAAAAAAAAAAAAAAAAAUUUAAGAAAUUAAAAUAAGACAACAGCGUCCACUAAAACCCACCUAUAUUAUGCCACCUUGAAAAUGCUGAUAACGAAAAACACAUGUAUUUGGAAUGUCCAUUAUUCCUUCAAGUUAGAAGUACUGUAAUGGACCUAUUGGAAGCAAACUGUGGCAAUUAUGUAAAUGUUAACUUGUCUAUUAUUUUAAACAAGCUGCCAAAACUAAAAAAUAAAAUGAUACAUAACUUUAACUUGAUUAUUGUUUCCGAAUACAGGAAUCUUGUUUGGGCUAGCUGGCUCAAAUGUCUACAUAAUAAUAAGGUGCUUGAUCCUAAUCACUUGGAAUUAACAUUUAGAAAAAUAAUGGAUUUUAGGGUAGAGAAUUAUCUAGUUUGAUUUUCAUAUACCUGUAUAAUGCUCAUGUAGUUUUUCAGAAAUAGGGUGUUGGGGGUCAGGGAUAUCUGAUAUUGUGUUGAUUGUUCUGGAGUAGAGUAUACUUGUAUCAUUUUUCUGUCUUUAGGGGGUUCAUUGGUUAGUUAGUAUGUCUUUGAUAUUAAAUAAUAUUUCUAUUACUGUUAUUAUAUUUUUAGGUUAAUCACUUUUCAAUUGUUUAUGAUUUAAUACUUGUGAAUUAUGGUAACUUACAAAUAAAAACAUAUUAAAAAAAAAAAAAAAAAAAAAAAAAGCCCACAAAAGAGGCAAGAUGGCCCAUAAAAGAGG